rnacentral:lncRNA from 1 species
AUGUAGACAGACUGCUUUUCCUCUGCACUACAGAUAUGUCUCCGGCUUGCAGUACAUUUGUCUUCUGGCAGGAGUUGUACUUGGGCAACGGGGAAGGGGAAAUCAUCCGAGCUUGGCAGGCGGGGAGGUCACCUGUGACUGUCACAGGUAGGCUGCCUUAGGAAAUGAAUUAUUCUAACUGGCUGAGUAAAAAAGGAAGAGGCCCGGCUCAGGUUUCACUCUAAGACACACAGCCGGUCGAUUUAACCUUUCCUCUUAAGAAGUCACAGCUCAAUCCUUUGUUAGGGGGGCCUUUCAUUGUCUGGCUCCUCUGUGGCUUCUUCAAUGUUGAGACAGAAAAAAAAAAUUACCAACCUCAGGAGACGGCACUUCCCUUGGAUAAAGAGACACCAAACAGUCUGUGUGCUCCAGUCAGCCUUGGAGGAACAAAGCGCAGUGCAUUUCCAAAUAAAAUUUCACAGAGCUCCAAUACUGUUUUAAUUACUACAACCUGAGGAGGAAACGCACUGCAAGCCUUUCACUGCAAUGCAAUAAAAAGGAGCAGGAGAAGGCAGGGAGGGUGGCUGGGCUGAGACCCAGCUGAGCAUUUUGUUAAAGUGUAUUUGUGUCACUGUCUUUUCAGAGUCGAUGAGACACUUAUGUUUCUGGUGACAUCCUGUGGCCUUGGCUGCCUCUGUUAGUGUGUAUACGAACAUGAACAUGAAAAGAUUUCGAGUUCUAAAAAUAGAAGUUUCUGUUCUGAAUUUCAUAUGGUUCACAGACAAGUUGAAACAGACCAAAAUGGAAAAAGAAAAAAAAAAUUGCAAAGAGAAUCAGAUGUGAGCAUUCCAGAGCCCUCUUUCCUGUCCUGGGGUUCCCACUCUCCAACCCCCCCUUUAUUCUCACUCCCUCCUCCACUUCCCAUUGCCAGCAAACGGGCUCCAUUUCUGAUAACAGAUGCUUGACAAAGAAAGAGAAAUAAGACAUUAAAAAGGAGAGGGCUGCCGCCCGGGGGUGGGGAUUUCUGAGAGUUCAUUGCCAAUAGAUUUUUACAGGAACUUGCUCUCCUAGGCUCACUACCAAAGGAAGGAAGAGAACAGGAGUGGGGUUGGGGGGAGGUUGGAGAGCCUUUGUCUUCAAACUCCCAGUGAAAUAUAGGGUUAAUAUUAGCAAUUAUUAUUAAAAUUAGCCAAAUGUUAUUAAAUGAUCUCUGUAUAGAAGAAUAAGUAUAGUUUUCCCUUUGGUAGACAAUGACAUCUGCAGCUCUACAUUUUCAUGAAAUGACUAUACUUAACAAAAACAUUACUUCAUUUUCAUGGUAUUUCUUUUGUGCCUAGGAGCAACCCUGUAAUUGUUCACUUCAAUUACAACAUUACUAUUUUAAACUGAAACCCAUUUUAUCUGCAUGCCAGCUUUUUAUUUGUUUUACCAACUAUAUCUAUUUCCAUUACUGCAAGGCUGAUGGUUUGUCUCAAGAGGAAAUCAAAUCCAUUAAUUCAGAAAUUUCAAGCCCGACUAGCUCUGCCAUAAGCAGCAUUUCUUAUGCUAAUAGCAAAUGUGCUGAGACUGAAAGGAACUGACAUGGCCCUGUUUUUUAUCAUAACUUAAGCAUUUAUGUAAGAAGGCAAAUCUAAUAGUACUAGGAAACUGUAAGUGUUAUUAUAUAUAAUUCACUUUCCUGAGAUCUGGACAGGGCUCUGGAUUGUGUAGCCCUGGUUUAAAUCAGGCUGCCACGAGACUUUAACUCACCUGACUUUUCCUAUUUAGCCAACAUAUUGCUUCACAACAGAAACAUCUAGCAUGAAACUAGAUUUGUGUGCAUGCACGCACGUGUGUGUUUUAUUCUCAACUUUUCUCCUCCUGAAAGACAGAUUAUUUUUGUCAAUGCAGAAAAAAAAAAAACUUUUUUUUUUUUUUUUUUGCAUUCAGGGAUGUCUGGAAUGUAUCCCUGUGACAGCACUAGCCUGAGACCAACCUGGCUCCUUCUGUUUCAUUUUUAAUGCACUCUGUUUGGGCCCCAUCACAUGGUUUGUGUUCAAUUAGAUAGCUUGACUCGAUAAAAUCUGACUCUGACCUAGAAAAAAAAGAUGGGGGGGCAGGGGAGAGAGACUGCUUCUGACUCCUGCAGACGCUCUUCCAGGCACUGUGACCUGUUUAUGUCAAUGGCAAAAGUGUAAGAGAUUCCAAUCACAGAACCACAUCAUCUUCUGGGAUCUAAAAAAUACAGAAAGCACUAAAGGACCCUGACCCUCCUUUGUCACCACAAAGCCCUUCAGUGCUGUAAAUCAGUCCUCAUUGGGAGCUCUUAUGCACCAGCCGUCACCGAUAAGCUUUGGAGAAGUAGACAAGGCUUUUAGGAAUUGCUGAACCAUGAAGUUGACCUGCUUAGGGUUUUGUUGUAGGCUAUUAAAUCCAGGAUGGCCGUUUUAAGAUGAUUCUGCUUUCUUUUUCCCUUGGCCUGGUUAAGCAACUCUACCCCCACUUCAUUAUUUGCCUGAUUUUUAAAAAAUUCAGAAUGGAGCAACCUGCUGUUUAAGAAUACCACCUUCACACAUCAAUUUAAUGAGUGACUUAUGCUGACGUAGUUUACGGGCUCAAGCAACUUGACACUAAUUUUGCAGCUAAGAAAAGAUUUACUAACUGUACACACUGCUCUGCUUUUGUUGGCAUGGGUACUGCGAUUCUUUUCUCCAAAAACAAACUCUAAAUCUUUUGUAAACAUGCAUUAUUUGGUUAACACAUUGUAAAUGGAUCCCAGUUGUGCAGCACAAGUGCUCUUCACUAUUAUGUAAACAAUUAUUCACUGAAAGGCUUGCUUUAAAUUGUAAAUGAAUAUAUUUCAGCUGUAAUGUUGCUUUCAGACCUGCCCAGUGGUAUAAAUCUGGUCAUUUGUUUUUUGCACUCUGCCUAUUACUAACCAGUUAGAAAUGUGCUGAUUAUUUGCACAAGCCUUUCACACUGUGGGCACAGUUAAAUUGCUGUUUUAUUUUUCCUGUGUUUGAUGAGUGUUAACAAGAGCACCAUUUGAGGAAACCCAAACCAAAUACAUCUCUUUAAUUGGGUUUGGGGGUGUUUGGGAAAAGCCACCUGGUGAGUCAUUCCACUGCUUAAUGUUUGAAAGUUCACCCACCUCACUAUAGAACUUAUGACAAGAUUAAUUAAAGGGAGUUGGCAAAAAUUCUGGGCCUUGCACAGCCAACACAAUAGCUUGAAAUAUGGUGCAUCCAGGUAUCAUGGUAUAGUGAUUCCCAACUCUCUUUUCAACUUCUCCUAUUGCCAGACAGUUCCAUGUUGGGAUUAGGCAAUUUUGCAUUCACUCUCCCUUAAAGAAAGCACAAUUUGGAUUAGGAAGUCCAGUAGUGAUCUCACUGGGCAUGUGACUUUUUUUCAUGUGGGUAUGUCCUGUGGCUAAUGAAAGUUCAGUCAAUUCAGAGAGUCUGCUCUUUAUUCCUUCCCCUAAGAAACCAUUUAUCCAUUUUUCUUUAAAAUUUCUCCCACCUCUUGUUUUGGUAAUGGUAUUUUGGUAGUGUGCUGAUCCGGGAAGCUGUGGAGGCAGAAAUAGUGUGACCUCAGAUGGUCUCAUUGGCCUGAACCAGAAUGAAGGCUGUAGUUUUAUCUGGCUCCAUUGAUAAAACUAAAAAACUGAAUGUGCACUGCCUUUAGAUACAGCUGACCUUAGAUCAAGCCUAGGGUAAUGGAAAAAGCCCCAAGUCCUAGCCUUGGUUGGGUUUCAGUUCUUACUCUGGAUAUUCUUUUAAACUCUGUGAGCCUUAUCUGUGAAAUAGCAGGUUUGGGCAGUAUGAUCAUUGCUGAAAUUCAGGAUAAUUCUGGUGCAGAAAUUCUAGGUGCUCUUUUGCAUCCAUGAAACAACAUAGAAGAAAAACUCAGUAGUCAAAACUUAGGAGUUUUAAUGGCUAAAAAGCAGGAGGUUCUUUAUUUCCAUAUUAAAUAUUGAAAAAGAAAUCUAUACUUUCCUUAUUCCUGCAAAUUCUAAAGAGUUAGUGAAGAAUAGGUACACUUCUGUCAGUGUCUAUUUUUUGUAGCCUAAAUGACAAUACUAUCACUGAGUAAAUUGCAUGAGAGACACACAUUUUAGAUCUACGAUGGUUUAUAAUUAUAUGAUUUUCAAUUUGUUUAAUAUACUUUCUCCUCUAGUGAUCAGGAUUCAUACUACCUUUUUCUUCCUGACAAGCUGCUUAUUCAGAUACUCUAUUUUACAUAUUAAAUUCAAUUUAGGUGAAAGAAUGAAAGUAAUGUGCACAUCAAUUUAAACCUGUGAAAAUAAAGAGAGAAGUUUUUUUUUGUUUGUUUUUGUUUCUCCUGAAACUUUCUCUUCCCUAAAUAUUGAGGCAAAUUAUCACUCAUGACAAACUGGGAUCAUAAGCUUUAGAUACAGAAAACCCAUUUAAGAAUGAUUGUGAUCAGCUUUGUUAAUAAUGGCCAAAAUAUAGAAUUUAUUCAGUUCUUUUGUUCUGAUAAAUAGUUUUCUAAAUAAGAAGUAGGCAUAUCCCUGAAGCAUUUUUGUUAUACAUAAAAAACUGUGUGUGUGUUUAUAUUCUACAUGCAGUUCCACAGACCAAAUGGAAAUGUUUCUGAAUUACAUACAUUUUAAUUAGAAAAAAAUUGCUGAUGGACAUAAUAUCUUAUUUAUUUAUUUAUUUAUUUAUUUAUUUAUUGUGUGUGUGUGUGUGUGUGUGUGUGGUGCUGAGGAUCAAACCCAGUGCCUCACACGUGCAAGGCAAGUGCUCAACCACUGAGCUAAAACCCCAGCAUCUUAGACUUUUUAAAAACUGUAGCUUGUGAUAGUCUUGAUAGUUGAUUCAUUUAGAUGUUAGACCAAAUUGAAGAAUGAGCAAUACCUCUUUUCAAUCUAACAUGUCUUUCAGCCAGUGGUUCUGAGAAAAGUAUGGAUUUCACUGUUUACUUCUUUACCAUUUUCUUUUCCCAUUUCUGAGCAUGUGCAGACAGACAAUUGUGUUGUGAUGACCUUAUGUUUCAACUCUCCACUUUAUAACACAGUGUCUCAGGAUGACCCAGCUAAAAGAAGAAAUCACUCAAUCAAGCCCAAAGUGUAGAAUAUUGAUAAAGUCAAUUUAGAUCUGAAAGGCUUACAGUUACUCACUGUGACCUCCUUAGAAACACUAAGGAGGGAUCACUGUUUGGGUCUUCAUUGUGGUCUUCACUAUUGAUAAGGACAGACUUGGUCACACUCAUUUUUGCUGUUAAAUUUAAAUUUCCAUAUUUCUUACACUAAAUUGUAAUAGGAUACAGUAUGGCCAAUGAGUUCAGAAAUUUACACCAGCCUAGACUGUGCCUGAGUUGACACUUUCCUGCUUUUGUCAAUUAGCCAAGAUGAUCUGGUUGAAAAUUAUUUUGAGCAUUUUUCUAAGCAGAUGCAAUUCCUUUGCCCUAACUUAUAUCUUAGAGGUUGUGCAAGUAGCUAAAGGACCUUUAAAAUAAAGGUCAUGUGGCCUUGGUUGAUGAUGUGUUCCUCUGCUAUGAGUUAAACCCUAAAUUCCUUGAGGUUGAGGGCAAGGAAUUUUCCUUUCUUCUCUUUCCAAAAUAAGUACCUAGCACAAUGCCUCAUAUUUAGUAAGUGUUCAGUAAAUGUCUGUCAAAUAAUUAUGGCAUCCUGAUACUCAUUCUUUAAGAUGACGAAGAGACAAGUCAUGUAAUCAUCCAUUUACCAGUUGAGGAAAAUAUUCAUUUCUAUUUACAGAAUGUCCUGUUGGUGGAUUAACUAAGCCUAGACACAGAUUCAGAAGCAGAACUGUCAUUCGUAUUGCAAGACUGGCAAUUUCCUUAAAAUAAAAUUAAAAUAAUAUACCUAUUUGAGUUAAACCAAUAUCCUAGGGAUUGUAGAGAAGAUUUUAGGACAUGGAGAGAGGAAUCUCCACAUUGAGUUGAGUCCUAGUCUUGAAAAUGUCUAUCAUUAUAUAUGUAUAAUGUGUUCUUUGUAUUAAUUUGUUGAGAAACUGAUAGCUGCACCUUCUUUUGCUUUUAGACCUUUUGGUCUCAGGAACUUACAUUUGAUGAUCACUCACUUCAAUACUGUAGUAACAGGAAGGAAAUAAUUGAGUAGUUGUUAUACUAUUUUUCUCUUCUUCAGUAAACAUGUAUUGUUUUGUAAAAGUAAAAUGCUAUUUGGAAAAAGAAAAGUAAAUAUGCCAAGUAUAGUAUGACCAGACAAGGGCAUCAGGAAACACUCCGCUGCAGGGGGCCACCAUAGCUCUGAGUCUUGGAAGACAAGGGAACUGAGCAUGGAGAAAGAAAGCAAGGUCAUUUCUGGCAGAAGGGAGAGCAUAUGUUUCUGAAUAGCUUUGGGGUUAAAUCCUAUUAGCUUAGAAAUGCCUUCCUUAACAACAAUACAAAUGUUAUUUAUAUUUUAUAGAAACUUAAUUGAUAAUUUAGGAAAAGUCUACUCCUCCUUCCUCAAAAAAGUAUUUACUUUUAAAAAGUGGAAAUAUGAGAGUUACAAAUUUGACCUCAUUAAUUUAACUUGUGAAAAUAUUUGUUGUGUUUACUGGUUCAUCUGUACAACAAAAUAAUAUGAAUGGGUGUAUACUUUGAAAGCUACUGAAGGUAUAAGGGUGAAAAAAAAAAAAACAGAAGCAACACUGAGCUCACAGAUCUCUGAGGUCAUCUUCCCUUCAAUUAUCAGGAACAGUGAGUGGGUUUAGAAGAAAGUAUCCCAAGAAAAUGAUACUUAUUUAUUACUAUUUUGAUUUUCACUGUUGCAUAACAAUUCAACACAAAUCCUAGUGUCAAAGAAAUGAUAAAUGUUACAGUACAGGAUACGAUAAUAAUCCUGAUAUGAUCUUUCCAUAAUGUAUUCAUAGAUCAAAACAUUACUUUAUACCCCAUAAAUAUGUACAAUUAUUAUCUGUCAAUUAAACAUUUUGAGAAAAAAACAGUAAAACACAACACUAGUAAUUCUCGCCUCAGAGUUUCUGGGUCAGGAAUUUUGGAAUAGAGUAGCUGAGCUGUGCUGACCCAGGGUGUCUCUCAUGAGGUUAGUCAGAUUUUGGCUGAACUGUAGUCUUUUUUUUUUUUUAAUAGGUAAAAAUAUGCAUUUAUUUAUUUAUUAAAUAGACAAAAGUGUAUGUAUUUGUGAUGUUCCAUGUGAUGAUUAGACAUAUGCAUACAUUGUUCAAUGGCAACAUCAAGCUAAAUUACGUAUGCAUUAUCUCACAUAUUUAUUUAAGUUACUUUCAUCUACAAGUCUGUAAUAAUUUAAACAUCAGUACUGUCAUCCUUAUAAUGAUGAGCACAAAUAUGUAUUAACCACUUUCUUUUUUUUAAUUUUUUAUUGUUGGCUGUUCAAAACAUUACAUAGUUCUUGAUAUAUCAUAUUUCACAAUUUGAUUCAAGUGGGUUAUGAGCUCCCAUUUUUACCCCAUAUACNAAUGCCAUCCAUUUCCCUGUAAAUUCUAUGAUUUUGUCAUUUUUUAAUGCAGAGUAAUACUCCAUUGUGUAUAAAUGCCACAUUUUUUUUAUCCAUUCAUCUAUUGAAGAACUGUAGUCUUUUGAAGGUUAGAACAGGCGAGAUGAUGUUUCUAAGGUGAUUCAGACACAGGCUAUUUGAGACCUCAGCUCCUUGCCAUUGACGUAUCCACAAGGCUGGAGUGUCCUUCUUACACAGCACCAGUGUCCCUUAGAGCAAACAACCCAAUAGGCCAAGUUGGAAACUGCCACGCCUUUUAAGACCUACACCCACCAAACAUAACCCCAUUCACAGAAUUCUACUAAAAAGUCUUAAUUCAGUGUGGAGGACUGUACUUGGACAUGAAUAUCAGAAGGUAAAAAUUAUCAGGGGCCACAUCGCAUACUGUCUACCACAAUGACUGAGACUUUUUUUAGAAAAUCUCCACAUCUUUGAAUCUAGUUUGUAGCAUAAUUUAUCAGUUGAAAACUCUCAUUUAGCUCUCUAAUAAGUUGAAGCUGAUAGCUUUUACUUAGAAGAAGGAAUCUGGAAGCUAUGGCAUCCAUUUUUAAGAAGUCUUAUUUUUUUCCUGUCUUUGCUUAUUUCAACUAAAUAAUCCUCACGUAGUACUUUAAAACUGUAAUUCUCAGUCAGAAAGCCAGGGCCUAAGAGUCAGCUUGCUCGGUUUUCUAUGAAGCUUAAAGGCCCCAGCAUAGUGGUGGGAUAGAGUUACAUGAACCAUUCUGACUUACUGAAGAAUCAUUUCAGUUUUUUUUAUCUGUUAAUUUAUACACUGAAAUUCUGAGGAAGAUAUCAUUUUUUCAAAAUUUCUGUUGCAGAUUAAAAAAAUGCAAAAAUACUCAUCUAAUUCAAAGUAUUAGCAAAUACAAAUAUCUUUUACACAACAGCUUUUGCCGAUGGCCGCUGAGUAGUUGGAUUCUGCUACAUGACGGGAAACUUACUUCCUCAUGGGAAGCAGCAAGGUCAUGUUCAGCAGAGGGCCAAAAUCAUGAGCUCACUGAAACAACCCAAAGAUGUUAGCUGUGCCAGCUAAAGCAAAUAAAACAGACUGGUUCCUUGUUCUGAAUGAUAGCCCUUUACAUAACUGAAAAUCACUUUUACCUUUAAAAUAAGAAAUAUAUUAAGUAUAAACUGAUGUCCUAAUCACAACUAAUUAUUAUUAAAAUCUCCCAAAGCCACAUUCUAUUUACCUAGUUUCAAGUCUCUCCAUUGUUUCUUUAAAUAUAUUCUUUAGUUCAAAAUUUAUUUUCCUUUAGUCUAAAUUAGUGAGAUUUUACUAAAUGCAAAAGCAAAUACUUGUUAGAUUUCUCAGAGAUUGUGAAUUUGAUUUAACAGCCCUCUAAAAAUAUGAAGCUUAGCAGAAGCAAAUUUCUUUUCUGCCUUCACAUCUCUUUUCCCACAGAAAGACUUAAAAAUCAAAUUGCAAAUCCUCUCUGCUGCCUCCUUCUAUCUGGCUGACAGGUAUUCUUUAGGUUUACUUGGAGUUACUGAUGAGAUUACCUAAUCCCAAGAGUUCUAUUUUUUCUUUUGCCUAAAGCCUUCCCAGUGUUAAUUAGGUGUAAGAAGAGACUCAGAAUUAACUCUUUCAUUAAGUGCAAGGAAGCAAUAAUGAUGUAAUAACAUCCUUCAUUGUUGAGGUUGCCCUAUUUUAAAGUAAUCCCUCGUGCACCAGGAGAGAGUUCAUAAAUCUGAUUCUCAGCAAUGGAGCCACCAGGGAAUGACUUAAGUUUCGUUGACUGUUCACUAUCAUUAUUCUUGGGGACUAACUACCUUUGAUACACUGUCUUGCUGUGGGCUGUGGGUUUGUUGUCUUCUCUCUGACCUUUCUAGAUGGUAGAAGUGCCUCUCUUGGGGUAUUUCAGUUUGGCUCUGUGCUCCUUUGAACAGAUGCCACAUGGAGAACUUCUCUAUCUCUGUGUUCCUCAACAAUCAAGAGGGUGAAUUAAGCCUUUCUGCAGAGUUUUAGAAAUGCCUAUUGCUUGCCCUUUCAUUGCACACAAUAGCAAAAUUUGAUGCAUAUUUUUACAUGGGCUAGCAUACAAAUCUUCAAAAUCAUAUUGAAAAUGUAACAUCCUUUUGUAUGAAAUACAAAUCUUGUUUUGAACUAUUAAAAUCAGAAAUUUGUGCAGGGUCAAGAAAAGGUAAAUAUGCCUCAUCUGUACAUAUUUAUACCCUGUGAAUUUUCUCCUAGAAUUGUUUGGAUGAGACAAAGCUAAAGGAACUCGGCUUUUCAAGUAAGUUGAUAAGAAAUGGAUUUGGUUCUUUGAUAGAGCCAAGUGAAGUCAACUCUGACCUCUGAUAUAAUGUAAACAAUUUAAAACUCAUGUUAAAACAGGCUGUUCCUUAGCCAAAGUAAUGCCAAACAAAGAAAGCCAUGCCGAAUCAUCACAAUUCCUGAUUUUAAAUUAUACUACAGGGCCAUUGUAGCAAAAGCAUCAUGUUACCAUAAAAACAGAUAUGUAGGCCAGUAGAACAGAAGAGAAGACAGUGAGACAAACCCCAGCUAUAGUCAGCUGAUUCUUGAAACUGCUGCCAAAAACAUAUAUUGGAGAAAAGACAACCUUUUAAACAAAUGGUCCUGGGAAAACUGGAUGGAUACCCAUAUACAGAAGCAUGGAACUAAAUCCCUCUCUCUCACCAGGCACAAAAGUCAACUGGAAAUGGAUCAAAGUCCUAAAUAUAAGAUCAGAAACUAAACUGUUUGAAGAAAAGUAGGGGAAACACUUCAACAUGAAGGAACAGGCAAAGACUUCCUGUGUGGGACCCCUUUAUUCAGGAAAUGAAAGCAAGAAUUCAUAAAAGGGAUGCAUCAAAUGUACAAAGCUUCUGUACUUCAGAGGUAACAACAGAGUGAAGAGACAACCUAGAGAAUGGAAGAAAAUCCUCACCAGAUACUCUUAUGACAGAGGAUUAAUAUCCGGAGUAUAUAAAGAACACAAAAUACUCCACACUAAAAAGAAAGAAAACAAAACAAAAAAAUACCGAAUCAACAAGUGGGCAAAUUAACUGAACAGACACUUCUCAAAAAAAGUACAAAUGCCCAGCAACUACAUGAAAAAGUGUUCAACAUCUUUAGCCAUCAGGGAAAUACAAAUCAAAACUACACCAAGCUGGGGACAUAGCUCAGUUGGUAGGGUGCUUGCCUCGCAUGCACAAGGCCCUGGGUUCAAUCCCCAGCACCACUGGGAAAAAAAAUUGGGGGGCUGGGGAUGUGGCUCAAGCGGUAGCGUGCUCGCCUGGCAUGCGUGAGGCCCAGGUUCGAUCCUCAGCACUACAUACAAACAAAGAUGUUGUGUCCACGGAAAACUAAUAAAUAAAUAAAUA